rnacentral:lncRNA from 1 species
AGAGUCUGCUAGAGGUGAGGAGUGUGCAGGUCAGCAUUCCCUUCCACUCAGUGCAUGAGCUCUCUCCCUUUUCAUUUCUAGGGUUCUCUUGCCCCCCCCCCCAGUUCCUGGUUGGUGCCCCUCCCACAGUGCCGUUAUUUAAAAUAGUGCUCACCCUUGGAGGUGAUGUUAACUGGAACAAGAUGCAGGACCGAGUGUUUCUCUAAAGAAAGAAGGAGGAAACAGCAGUGUUGACCUGCCUCGGAGUCCACCCUCCACCCUCACCUCAGCUCUGCUCCGCAUCCCUCGUGCUCCUGGGUCACCGCCAACAGCACCGAAACCCCAGGGCUCACUCACUCUUGUGCUUCUGGCUCAGGCUGCCUCAGACUUUCAAUGCAGUUGAAGAUGAACUUGGAUUCCUCAUGCUGCCUUCCAAGUGCUGAGAUUAUGGCAUGUCCAACCUGCAGCCAUCAGAGGGCCCCAUGCAUCCCAGGGUGCUAUAGACAUGGCCCAAUGUAUCUGCAGAGGACAUCAUGUCACAGUGUCAGAAGAUCAUGUACCCCACAUGUAUAGAGCGCUUUUCCACCCCCACCUCACUGAAACUCUAACAACCUCCAGUCUCAUCAGACUCUUGGGAAAGCCUGGCCUUGCAUGGUUCCUGAGCCUGCCUCUACCACACAAUUAAGCUUUGAGGCCUACUAAGGCCUAAAUGCUACUACCAAGGGCAAGGAGUCCCUGACUCCACUGUAAAAUCGUCUUCCUGUGUGGUGCCAUGUAUCUUGGGCUACCUUACCAUCAUUCUUGUCACCUACCACUGUAAUUACACAUUUACAGACUGCC